rnacentral:lncRNA from 1 species
GAUUCAAAAAAUAAUCAGUUAAAUCAAUUUUAAAAGAAUUUUAAGAAAAAAAGAAUUUUAAAGGAGUCGCCACCUAAUUUUAGGAAAAAACUAGGAAACCAUUAAGUGAUCUACGAAACCAUUAGAUUCUAAGUAAGGGGUUCAAGUUAUUUCGAAGGAAAGGGGUUAGGCAUCUUUCGAAAUCCACAAAUGUGGAUCCCGACUGAAUUCAUUUUUUUUUCAAAUUGAGGAUGAGAAUAAAAUACUGUACAAAUAUAAUAAACAUGCAAUAUACACAAGUAAUAUGAUAAAACAAUAAUAUAGAAAUCGGCCUAAAUUUGCCUAUCGUCAAUAAUCUACAAUAUAAAUAGAAGUAUAAUUCGAA